rnacentral:lncRNA from 1 species
GAAGGGUCCAACUUAAGUGGUAAGCAAUGGAUCGUGUGUUGGAUCCUAAUGGCACCGAAAGGGAAAGAGGUGGACCGGGCUGCCAGAGCACGAGCCGACCAUCCCUUUGCGUCAAAGUGGCAAGCGACAACUCACUCCGGCCAACAAGCAGUCCGGGCAAUCAAGCAAGCAAGCAACCAACUUUUUUACUUUUGAAUUUUCAUCGGCUCGGCAGCAACUCACAAAAUCGCCAUUGAAACGGGGAAGCAGAUCGAGAUCGAGCUCUGGAUUCGGUUAGUUACCUAAAUGUGGCGGUUCUGACGAGCUCGCCUCGCCUCUGCUCCGGCGAUCGGUACAGGGCACACCAGGAAGGGAAGAAGAAAGACUAAUUUAAGGGGAUAUGAUCUUUACACAGCCGAGAAAUUUUUGAU